rnacentral:tRNA from 1 species
AAAAUUUUAGUUUAAUAUAAAAAAUUAUUCUAUUACAAAGAAAAGAUUUAAUUAAAAUUAAAAAUUUUA